GUCGAACGCUGGCGGCGUGCCUAAUACAUGCAAGUCGAACGCAGUGGGGACGGGUGAGUAACACGUGGGUAACCUCCCAUCAGAGGGGAUAACACUUGGAAUCAGGUGCUAAACCGAUACUGAUGGAUGGACCCGCGGUGCAUUAGCUAGUUGGUGGGGUAACGGCUCACCAAGGCCACGAUGCAUAGCCGACUUGAGAGGGUGAUCGGCGACAAUGGGACGGAGACACGGCCCAGACUCCGACGGGAGGAAGCAGUAGGGAAGCUUCGGCAAUGGACGAAAGUCUGACCGAGCAACGCCGCGGGAGGGAAGAAGGUUUUCGGAUCGUAAAGCUCUGUUGUUAGAGAAGCGGUAUCUAACCAGAAAGCCACGGCUAACUACGUGCCAGCAGCCGCGGUAAUUC
rnacentral:rRNA from 1 species